UACGGGGGGGGGCAAGCGUUGUUCGGAAUUACUGGGCGUAAAGGGCUCGUAGGCGGCCAACUAAGUCGGACGUGAAAUCCCCAGGCUCAACCUGGGAACUGCGUCCGAUACUGGAUGGCUUGAAUUCGGGAGAGGGAUGCAGAAUUCCAGGUGUAGCGGUGAAAUGCGUAGAUAUCGGAAGGAACACCAGUGGCGAAAGCGGAUCUCUGGGCCAUUACUGACGCUGAGGAGCGAAAGCGUGGGGAGCGAACAGG
rnacentral:rRNA from 1 species